AACGCACCUUGCGCUCCUUGGUAUUCCGAGGAGCAUGCCUGUUUGAGUGUCAUUAAAUUCUCAACCUUCCAUGUUUUAUUAGCAUGGUUAGGCUUGGAUGUGGGGGUUGCGGGCUUCAUCAAUGAUGUCAGCUCUCCUUAAAUGCAUUAGCGGAACUUUUGUGGACCGUCUAUUGGUGUGAUAAUUAUCUACGCCGUGGAUGUGAUGCAGCUUUAUGAAGUUCAGCUUCUAACCGUCCAUUGACUUGGACAAUUUUGACAAUUUGACCUCAAAUCAGGUAGGACUACCCGCUGAACUUAA
rnacentral:misc_RNA from 1 species